rnacentral:rRNA from 1 species
CGGCGGACGGGUGAGUAAUGCCUAGGAAUCUGCCUGGUAGUGGGGGACAACGUUUCGAAAGGAACGCUAAUACCGCAUACGUCCUACGGGAGAAAGCAGGGGACCUUCGGGCCUUGCGCUAUAAGAUGAGCCUAGGUCGGAUUAGCUAGUUGGUGAGGUAAUGGCUCACCAAGGCGACGAUCCGUAACUGGUCUGAGAGGAUGAUCAGUCACACUGGAACUGAGACACGGUCCAGACUCCUACGGGAGGCAGCAGCA